AGUGAACGCUGGCGGCGUGCCUAAUACAUGCAAGUCGAACGAAGUGGCGCACGGGUGAGUAAUAUAUAGUUAAUCUGCCCUACACAGAGGAACAACAGUUGGAAACGGCUGCUAAUACCUCAUAGUGUAGGAUGAGACUAUAUCGUAUCAGCUAGUUGGUAAGGUAAUGGCUUACCAAGGGUAUGACGUGUAACUGGUCUGAGAGGAUGAUCAGCCACAUUAGAACUUAGAGACGGUACAAAGUCCUACGGGAGGCAGCCGGAAGGAAUAAUGCGCAAUGGGGGAAACGCUGACGCAGCAACGCCGCGUGGAGGAUGACACUUUUAGGAGCGUAAAUUCCUUUUAGCAGGAAAGCGGUACCUGAUGAAGAAGCACCGGCUAACUCCGUGCCAGCAGCCGCGGUAAUAC
rnacentral:rRNA from 1 species